GCUGGCUGGCCACAUGGACAGAGGAUGAGAGGCCUGUGCUGUGCAGGACCAUCCCGGGAGGCAGGUGGGAGAAGGAGAGCCAAACUCCUCCAAAAGCAGGGAUUUCUUGGAACAGCUUUUAAGCCAGGCUCAUCUGGUUUGCCUUGGCUGUGCACAGGAAAGGCCCCUGGUCCCUGAUGUCUCCCUGCUGUGGAGGGACAGGAAUGCAGCACCCAGCUCCCUCCUGCACUAAUGAGGUUCAUUAAGACUGAACAGCUAAUUUUGACACAACUCUGUUCCAACAGAUGCCAUGGCAGAGACUCUGCCUGCCCUAAACCCUGAGCUGUGAAUGCAGGCCCAGGGCUGUCCUACCCUGUUGGUGCCUGCAGGAAAAACCCCAAACUGCACAGACACAGCCACGCUGUCACAGUCACACUGUCACAGUCACACUGUCACAGUCACACUGUCACGGCCACUGCUGGCCAAACAAUUACAGGUUUCUGAGCUCAUCCACACCAUAAAUCAAAUCAAGUCUCUAAAACAGCAGGAAACCUUCAGGGAAACAUGGGAAGAAAGCAUCUUUGAAAGCUCAAAUGGUGACUCACUCGAGGAGUGCAAGGACUGUGACAAUUAACAAGGAGCAACAGAGAUAAACUGGAGCUGGCUGCUUCCAUCCCCUUCAAAUAACUUCAACCCCCCCAGACCUGCUGCCCCUUAUCUGCAGCACAGUCCCUGCAGAUGAGGCUGUCUCCACAAGAAGGAUAAGGAUGUACAGGAGCUCCUUCUUCACCCACACAGACUCCUACCACCUCUCCUUGACUUGGUGCAUGUCCCAGUGAGCCAUGGGCAGAUGAUCCUGGAAAAUCGACCCAUCCACCUGGACCUCACUUCAGCUUGUGUUCUUUAUUUCAAAGAAGGUCAAUAUAAAGUAACUCAGAGCAUGUCCCACUCCUUUUGGAUCUCCUUCCUGAGCUGAGAAGUCCCAGCAAGCUCUACCAAAGCUG